CUUUGCUUCCAGGGACAGCUGUGUCAGCGAAAUGGAUUUAACAUUGUUUCAUGUUUACCUUAUUUCCUAAAAUGAUGAACUAUGAAAGUGAGUGAUAAACACUUACACAGAUGCCUUUUGAUUAUUUAUGGCCCACUCAUUGGUGGAAAACAGCACAUGGUGUGAUUUUUUUCUCCCAAAGUGCCCAAGUCCUUAUUUUCCAUUUCAAGGGUUUAACAGGUUCUAAAAUGACAUUCAAGGCGAAUAUCUAAAAUUGAGGUGUGAGUUGCAUAAAAAGUUAAUUUCCUGGCAGCUGUUAAUAAUAUGGGUAACAAUAUUGAAAAUUUGCACCACGACCUCACUUAGAGUUUAUGCAAGGUCAAGCUUCCCACAUCUAAGUCAUUCAAGAACAACAAACUAUGCUAAAACCUGCACAGAAGAUUCAGUAAAGACAGAAAUUACCCUUGGUUGGGUUAACCUUGUCUUAAGUCUCUAGCAUAAGAGUUCAAUCAACAGGUCUGUGUGUGUGUGUAUGUGUUUGUAGGCAGCCUCCUUUAUUGCCUGCAAAGCUAGUGGUUCUGCUGUACUUCAUUCUGUUCUGCAGCUGAAUUCUGCAGUAGCGCUUAAAAGCUAUGAGUUCCAAAGGAAUAUCUGUGUUGGUGUAGUCUUGGUGUAGUCUAAGGGGCCAUAAGACUGGGUUGUUUUUGUUGCAACAGACUUAAGAUUACUGUGGCAUUACUGUGGCAUUAGCUGUUGUGAAAAGGCUUAGCCAUAAUCAAUCUGUUAAGAUGCAACAAGACGUGGGGGAGGGGGUUGCCAUAAGUUACAAGGGAACUUGAUUGCACAGCAUUAACUGUAUCUCAGAGCUUGGAAGUAACUCGUUAUUUUUAACGAGUUACUUGUAAUUCGUUACAAUUUUAAAUAACGAGUGGGUAAUUCCAUUACAUUUGGCAAGUAACGGAACGACUAGUAAUUUCCCUACUUUUCAGCUGCAACUUUAACGUUUCCACGUUAGGUUGCACGUUACUUGGGGGUGGGAACAAGGGGAAGACAGCUCCUGGCUGUGGUUGGUUAACACAAGACAUGUGCCUCACACUGAUUGGACCUCUGCACAGACUCUCUCUUCCCUCGUGAUCUGUGUUAGGAUGCACGAGGGAAGAGGUGAAUAGGCAGGGCCUGCUAGCGUCUGAGAGGACAAAAUGGACGCCGGAGGAAAAAGCCAGGGCAAGGACAACGGAGGAGAAGGCAGCAGCAGAAUGGCAAAGAGCUGUGGAGAGACGCCUGUUGCAGGUUUUGCUGCAGUCAGUUAGUGCGGCCACUUGAGUCACAGCUUGUUGAUCCUGAGGAGGCAAAACUAGAAAGUGAGGUUCAGAAAGGAGGCCCUGUGCGUGAGGAGGAGGAGGGCAUGAAGCAGUGCCAGUUGCCCACAGCCACAUCUGCAGAACAGCAAGUACCAUGGUUUGGCUUUGAGAAAGCUUGUACAUUUGUGAGCCAGAGUGGGAAAAACGUUGUUGUACGAUGCAAUUACUGCCUUCCAAGGAUCAAAAAUCUGAGAUCAACUGUUUCCUCCUCAUCCAAUGUGAAGAAACAUUUUGAGAGGGCACACCCUGAGAAGCUGAGAGCAAUUGAAGAAGCAAUAAAGGCCAAGGAGACGUGUCAUGAACCAAUGCAUGACACCCCUCCUCCCAAAAUGCUGAAGCAGCAGCAGACAACCCUUGAGAGGUGGGGAUCUGGCAGGGAGCCUGUCACCCAGAGCAAUCUCGACAGGAGAAUCAUUGAUUUCAUUGUAGAGGAGACAUUACCACUUCAGACUGUGGACAAACCAUCAUUCAUUAAUCUGGUUCGCAUUGGACUCCCCAAAGAUCUCACCAUCAUGUGUGCCAAGACUCUGAGAGACAGAAUUGAGAAGAGAGCAUGCCACAUGAGAGAAACCCUUGCAAACCGAAUGGGUGCUGUGGCAUAUAUAGCAACCACUGCAGAUUGUUGGACCAAUGGCAAGAAGAGUUACUUUGGGGUAACAGCCCACUGGAUCAACCCAACUACCCUGAAACGUGAGGUCGGGGCCUUGGCUUGUAAGCAUCUGAAGGGGCGCCAUACAUACGAUGUCCUUUCAAAAGCACUGCAUGAUGUACAUGUGCAGUACAGGAUCCACAACAAAGUUAUGUGCACUACUACAGACAAUGGCUUCAACUUUGUGAAAGCGUUCAGAGUUUUCAUGGCCAAAGAACCAGUGGAAGCUGCAGGCACCAGUGACGAUGAUGGUGAUAACCAGGAGGAGGAGGAGGCUGAGGUGGAGUUUGUGCCUAUCUGUGAGAUCCUGGACACAGGACCUGAGGCAGAGGAAGAAGCUGCAGACUCAGGAGAGGAUUUUGUUUUACCACCACACCAGAGAUGUGCUAGCCACACCCUCAACCUUGUGGCAACACAAGACAUAGAGGCCAUGCUUUCUGACUCCUCCAAAAGUAGUCUUCUUGGUCCUUUCAAGAAACAGUUUCGUUCCUUGAUGGGAAAGUGCAGCAAGGUGUGGUCCAAGCAGAACCAGUCAGCACAGAUUGCUGAGUAUAUCCAUGCGCAAUAUGGUGUGUAUCUGAAGGUACCGAAUAAGACCAGGUGGAAUUUCACCUUUGAUGCAUUGAAGCAACUACAUGAGCUCCUGUCAACUGUGCCACUAAAAAUGCAUGCCAUAAUGGAUCACAGCUGCUGAGAUUGAAGUGGUACAGGAAUACACAGAUUAUGGAACCACUAGCCCAGUCCCUAGAUAUCCUGUAACGGGAGAACGGCAUGUUCAUGGGGUAUUUGCUACCAACGCUCUGCAGUCUGGACCGCAAGUUAGAAGGACUGGAAAACAAACCUGAGAGGUACACAUACUGUUUUCAGCUGCUGAGAGGUGUGCGCGAAGCCCUAAGAAAGCGGUUUGCAGCUAUCUGGGAGGACAAGAGGCUUCUUCUGGCAGCCUGCCUACACCCUCGCUUCAAACUAGAUUGGCUGGAAUCGUGUCAGGUCGCCACCCAUACCAACAAAUACACAAUGGAAGCCUUGUUGAAAGCUGAAAUAAAGAUGGGUGUACUUAAUGAGGACAGUGAUCAGUCUUCAGAUAAAGACCAGGAAGGAGAUGACUUAGAGGAUGACUUCUUUAACUUUCUGCCCCAGGGCAAGAAGUCAGCAGUGGACACUGCUGAGGAGGAACUGGUGAGGUACCUGAGGUCUCCCAGCAGGGAAGUGUCAUCACUCCAUGGCUUUCCACGUGUGCUGCGGUGUUUUUUGCAGCACAACACAGGCAUGCCUUCAAGCGCCGCAGUAGAACGCCUGUUCAGUACUGGUGGCAACGUAAUGACUGUAAAAAGACAUUCCUUGUCUGACAUGCUCUUUGAGCAUCUUGUUCUUUUGAGACAUAACAGAAACAUAUUAUAAAAGCAUUUCAAGUGUAAAAUUUGAUUUCAAGAGUUGGGGUAUCUUCACUGCUUGGGGAGAUGUGAGAUUC